rnacentral:rRNA from 1 species
GAUGAACGCUGGCGGCGUGCCUAAUACAUGCAAGUCGAGCGAACAGACGAGGAGCUUGCUCCUCUGACGUUAGCGGCGGACGGGUGAGUAACACGUGGAUAACCUACCUAUAAGACUGGGAUAACUUCGGGAAACCGGAGCUAAUACCGGAUAAUAUAUUGAACCGCAUGGUUCAAUAGUGAAAGACGGUUUUGCUGUCACUUAUAGAUGGAUCCGCGCCGCAUUAGCUAGUUGGUAAGGUAACAGCUUACCAAGGCAACGAUGCGUAGCCGACCUGAGAGGGUGAUCGGCCACACUGGAACUGAGACACGGUCCAGACUCCUACGGGAGGCAGCAGUAGGGAAUCUUCCGCAAUGGGCGAAAGCCUGACGGAGCAACGCCGCGUGAGUGAUGAAGGUCUUCGGAGCGUAAAACUCUGUUAUUAGGGAAGAACAAAUGUGUAAGUAACUAUGCACGUCUUGACGGUACCUAAUCAGAAAGCCACGGCUAACUACGUG